rnacentral:rRNA from 1 species
UGCCCGAAAGGGUGACGAAGCGACGCCGCGUGUGGGAAGAAGGCCUUCGGGUUGUAAACCACUGUCGGGAGUUAGGAAAUGCAGGUGCGUUAAUAGCGCACUUGCUUGACUAAGGCUCCAGAGGAAGCCACGGCUAACUCUGUGCCAGCAGCCGCGGUAAUACAGAGGCGGCAAGCGUUGUUCGGAAUUAUUGGGCGUAAAGAGCACGUAGGCGGCCUUGCAAGUCAGUUGUGAAAGCCUUCCGCUUAACGGAAGAACGGCAUCUGAUACUACAGGGCUUGAGUACGGGAGGGGAGAGUGGAACUUCUGGUGGAGCGGUGAAAUGCGUAGAUAUCAGAAGGAACGCCGGCGGCGAAAGCGACUCUCUGGUCCGAAACUGACGCUGAGYGUGCGAAAGCUAGGGGAGCAAACGGGAUUAGAUACCCCGGUAGUCCUAGCCGUAAACGAUGGGCACUAAGUAGAGGGGUUUU